rnacentral:miRNA from 1 species
UCUCUCCCUUACCACCUGCCUCUUUCCUGCCUUGCUGCAGGCAAGGAGUGGGUGGGAGGAGGGCCAGCAAG